AAUGGUUAUCUGUUCAUUUAACCAAAAAUGUAAAAAUUGCUUAUGUCCAAUUAAAAGAAAACACAAACGUCGUCAACUUUUUCCAGUCAAUUACACCUCCAAUUCUCACUCUUCUUUCACCGUCGAUUCUCUGCUAUCUCUUUUCUCACUCUUCUUUCACCAAUUCUCGGUCAUCUCUUUUGAAUCAUCCUGUUAAUUAGAAAAGUUUUAGCAAUUGUAUAUACAUCAAGUCUCUAUUCUCUCAUCCAUAACUGUUUUAACAGUUUCUCUAUAUUGUCAAGUCUUGAUUCUCUCCUCAACAAUUGUGAAGCUAAUCUCAGAGAUUCAUGCAUUCAAAUUUCAACUGACCCUUUUAUAUUUGUUAAACUAUUUUGGUGAAACACUUUACUUAUAAGUUGUUAUCGGAUUGAAUAAUUCAUGCACAAUUUUCUUUUGUAUAAAUCUGUCUCCUUGUAUAAUAGUCAAACCACAAGACGGUUAUAGUUAACUAUAUUAGAAAGAGUACAAACUGAAGAGAUCCAAACUCCAAAGUAGUAGUGACUUGGUAGUUUUUAGGUAAGUCAUGAUGGGAUCAAGAUGUGUUGAUAUCUAGAAGGAUGGUACGUUCUCAUGGAGUUCUUAUAUUUGUGCUUUUUCAACACUGGGUAUGUGAAUUCAUAAGUUAUACUUGGGAAACUCAUAUUGUUUCAUAAGAACUAUUUUUCUUCCUUUUUGGUAACUGUAACUUUUUUUAGUAAGCCAAUAAUAUUCUACUUUCCAUUGGUUGUAGAGAGACAUACUAAUGCAAAAUUAAACUAAAAGGACUUCUCAUAUGAAAACUUCCACAUAUAUAAGAAAACUACUUCUUUUUCUUUGAAGUACAAUAUGACAUUUGGUUUGUUUUUCUGAUCAUCCAAAAAAAUGGUUAUCAGAUUUAGUUAUUCUUCAUUAUUUACCUUAAGGUAUUAUUUUGAUAUGAUCGACCUGUGUGAUUGUAUUCGGGCAAUUUAACCUAUUCAUUUUGUUACUUCAGCUUAGUUGAAAAUUUGGAUUGGAUAUUUAAUAAUUUGACAAGAGGUUGGAUUGUAACUGCGAUUAGCACCAAAAAUAUAUUUAAAUCUCUUCCUGCUAUACCCAACCACACUGCCUCUAAAUACCACAACCUUCUUUCUGCCUCUAAAUCACAUUAUUUAUUUAUUGUAUAUUGAAAUUCCAAAGAUCUACCUUGAGGCAAUCUCUCUACCUUGAGGUAGGGUAAGAAUAGUUACACCAUAUCCUUUCCAGAACUUACUUUGUGGGCAGUACUAGGUAUGUUGUUGAUUCAAUGUCUAAUAAUAUAAAUAAAAUUGAUUUGCAGUAUUUUUUUCAUUUUUUUGGUCAUUUCCGUUAAUCUGCUAUAGAUCUACUGCGGAACAAUGAUUAUACAAUAAAAUAUUGAUCAACCAUGGCACAUAAGUUCUUACUCGCUAAUGCUAAACUUUUUUUCCCUCUUUGUCUCCACUGAAUUAUUGAUCCUGUUAGGCAACAUUACUCAUGAUCUACUUAUUUUAUACCCAUUCGUUUGAAGAAUAAAUUAAGAAUUAGUACAAGUAGCAAGAAUAAUAGAAGUGCUUCUAUGGUUUCACUCUCAGAUUGCAGCAGAGCUCUUGGCCAAACAAAAAAUAAGAAGGAAAUGAGAGGAUGAGAAGUUGAUCAACAUAUUAACACUAGCCAUCUCCUAAUCGUAUGUGCCAUUUGAAAGUUACAUAUUGUAGAUAGUUCUUUUAAAGUUUCACCUUGAUCAAAUAUAUGGGUUAUCCAUGUAGAGUUGAAGUAACUUUCCGAUGAAUUGAGUGUUGAAAAUAAACUUUUGUGUGUUUAUGUUAUAUAUCUAUGAUACUUGCUAUAUAUUUAUUUUUAUUUUGAGUGUUCCUUUAUGCAUAUUUCAUUGUCUCAUGAAAAAUAAUAAUCAUCAUGUUGCAGAUUUUAGGAUGAUUAUAGUAUUGACACUUGCAGAAAUGAAGACGGAUCCUUGACAAAUAAUUUUUUUUUUAAAGAAAUUCUUGCACUAUCAACAACAUGUGAACUAGAAGUGGAACUCCUUUUGUAAUUGUUAUUUUGGUAGUUGAAUAGCGUCGACAGUAAUUUCCUCAAAACUCCUUUCAAGUCAAUCCAUUACUUGGCUUUGUUGCUUAGUCAUUUCUUAUUAUUUUACUCUGAUAUAAAUAUUCAAAUUUGUUCUUUAAAUAACUAGGCUCGUCUCUUUAUAAUUCUAAGCAUAGCAGCUAACAUGAAUUCAACUUUUUUAUACCAUAUAUAUAUAGAUAUAUAAUGACAGGUAAUAUUAGAGUCAUCUGAAUAGCAUGGAGAUAAUGAUAGCCUAGUCCUUUCUAAAAUGGUUUUAAAUCCACCAACAGAUUUUCACUACUUAGCUUAAUAUUAAUUGUGAACCAGAUUUCGUUAUUUUGCAUAAAUUUUUGCUUAAUGACAGUCAUGAUGUAUACAAAAUUAUACAUGAUUUGUUAGAUAGUAUAUGGAGGAUUCCAGUGACUUAUUUGGUGAAGAAAUUAUGUAUAUUAUGCCUUUGACAUCACAUUUAAAUUUACUUUCACACUUCUCCAUCUUAUUUAUGUGUCAACACAUGUACCUAUGGUCAUAUAUAUAUAUAUAGAACAUUUGCAUGCGCCUGGCUGAAAGUAUUUGUGGUGGUGAUAUAAAAUGAUUGCAUUUUUACAUAAAUUAAUAUAUUGUGUGACAUUUAAUUGAGUGAAGAAAAUGACUAGAAACGUAUGGAUGAAAUUAUUGUUGAUCAGAUUAUGUGGAAUUAGAAUAUCAUAAAUAUUAAGUGGGUUCUUGCAACUGGAUCCCAAAAAAUAGAAUAUAGUGUUGGAUUAAAAUGUUAGUUGUCCAGGUCAUAACUCUUAAGGUAAUUUGUAUGCCUUGCCGAUGCUCAGUUAUUCAAUGAUCACCACGGUGGUUGGUGGACGUAUAAUGCUAUAAUUCUUAAUCUUUCAUCUUCAAAGAUUCAAGAAAUAAUUCUAGUGAAAUUCUUUUUAUUUGCAAUUUGUGUAUUUAAUUAAUUAUAUGAUUCCGAGUAAUUAACAUGAAAACAUAUUUUAUCCAAUCAAUUAUCAAAAAAAUAUUUCAUCAAUUAUCAAAACAUUAUUUCAUCAAUUUGUUUACUGCGCGAAGCGCGGAUUACUUCACUAGUAUAUUUAUAAAGUUAUUAUUACUACUUUCCCUUCACAUUAAUUGACAUAAUUUAAUGACUCAUAUUGACAACUCUACUAUUUAUCUCUUGCACCACCUUGCUGUGGAAGGGGUGGCACAACAGCUACUGCAUUCCAUUGUUCUUGACUUUUC